UACGUAGGGACCGAGCGUUGUCCGGAAUCAUUGGGCGUAAAGAGCGUGUAGGCGGCCACUUAAGUCCUGCGUGAAAUCUUGCGGCUCAACCGCAAGCGGUCGUGGGAAACUGGGUGGCUAGAGUGCGGGAGAGGAGAGUGGAAUUCCUGGUGUAGCGGUGGAAUGCGCAGAUAUCAGGAAGAACACCAAUGGCGAAAGCAGCUCUCUGGGACGGUACUGACGCUGAGGCGCGAAAGCGUGGGGAGCGAACAGG
rnacentral:rRNA from 1 species